AGUGAACGCUGGCGGUAGGCCUAACACAUGCAAGUCGAACGGCAGCACAGUAAGAGCUUGCUCUUACGGGUGGCGAGUGGCGGACGGGUGAGGAAUACAUCGGAAUCUACUUUUUCGUGGGGGAUAACGUAGGGAAACUUACGCUAAUACCGCAUACGACCUACGGGUGAAAGCAGGGGAUCUUCGGACCUUGCGCGAUUGAAUGAGCCGAUGUCGGAUUAGCUAGUUGGCGGGGUAAAGGCCCACCAGGGCGACGAUCCGUAGCUGGUCUGAGAGGAUGAUCAGCCACACUGGAACUGAGACACGGUCCAGACUCCUACGGGAGGCAGCAGUGGGGAAUAUUGGACAAUGGGCGCAAGCCUGAUCCAGCCAUACCGCGUGGGUGAAGAAGGCCUUCGGGUUGUAAAGCCCUUUUGUUGGGAAAGAAAAGCAGCAGGUUAAUACCCCGCUGUUCUGACGGUGCCCAAAGAAUAAGCACCGGCUAACUUCGUG
rnacentral:rRNA from 1 species